rnacentral:rRNA from 1 species
UACGAAGGGGGCUAGCGUUGCUCGGAAUUACUGGGCGUAAAGGGCGCGUAGGCGGCGCUGCAAGUCAGGCGUGAAAUUCCUGGGCUUAACCUGGGGGCUGCGCUUGAGACUGUGGUGCUAGAGGACGGAAGAGGCUCGUGGAAUUCCCAGUGUAGAGGUGAAAUUCGUAGAUAUUGGGAAGAACACCGGUGGCGAAGGCGGCAUCCUGGACCGGUAUUGACGCUGAGGCGCGAAAGCUAGGGGAGCAAACGGG